CUGAGACCUUGCGUCAGUUUGCUUGCAUAUGUUAAAACAGUACAGCCAAUAAGAUGCAAAUUGUACAAUAGUAGAGGUAUGGUUGAAUAUAUAAAAGCCAUCUACCUGCCUCUCUCUUCACGACGUACAUUGCGUCAGUUUGCCUGCAUAUGCUAAAAUAGUACAGUCAAUAAGAUACAAAUUAUGCAAUAGUAGAGAUAUAGUUGAAUAUAUAAAAGCUAUAUAUCUGCCUCUCUCCUCACGACGUACAUGAGCAUGCUCAGAGUUGACAACUCUCAUAUGUGUGAUGAUUUAUCCAAAAUACACCAAAAUCUGCAUAUACUGCCUUGAAUUAUACUGUCCAAUCAGUGCAAAGAUAAUCCAAAAUAAACCAAAAUCUGCAUAUCCUGCCUUGAAUUAUACUGUCCAAUCAGUAGAAAGAUAAACAUGCUGUGGAUACAUACACAAGUAAGACCAUUGAAAAAAACAUGAAUAGAUACACCGAGGGAUGGACAGUACUGACUGAAAAUAAUUUCAAAAGAGGCAUUCAGCUGAUACACAUGUACCUACAUGUCUGAUUUCAUGUACAGUUAAUUAUUUCUGGCUAUAGUUGAAGUAUUGUACACACUUGAAGAAAUCAAGAAGGGUCAUAAACUAAGCAAGGAGAGAGUGAUUGCCAUAUCCGAAACCUUACGCAAUAUAGCAUCAGAAUGAGCACUCAAGGAGGAGUUGGUUAUUACAGUAUAUGCUAAUGUGCGGUUAAUUCUUAUGACUGAAAAUGAGCAGUACGGUACGCAAUAGCAAAAGCGAAGCAACUCAGUUGUUCAGUUUUCAUCUGCUUAGUUUUCGUUCGCAGGCCAGUUCUAUUUUCUGUCCUCGAAUUCUUAUUGCUUCCACUUCUCAAUGAUUACUGAACUUUGUUGAAUUUUCUUUAAAGGUUGCAGAAUUUUUGCUUCAAAAGGAUGCCUCUUCAAAACAAAUUGUUUUUCUUGCUACUGACGAGUAUAAUGCAAUGGAAUCCGUGAAGAUGGUAUGCGCACAUUAACAAUUGUUUGGCCAAUCCUUUAGAUUUCUUAUCACAUCUUCCCCCCGUGAGUUUCGAUUCCAUCUAUUGCUGAUAUUUAGCCUGGUGUCAAAUUGUGCGGUCAAACACUGGUGUCAUGAUGUGUGCUUGCAUCAGCCUGCUCUCAUUUAAAAAGCACAUUUGGUACCGUAUUUACACCUGGCCAAAUUUAAAGCAUCGAAACAUCCCUCUAUAUAACAGAACACCAACAAUACCAAUUCAUCCGUCCAUAUCAAAAUACAUAAACAACUUUCAACCCGGAGGCUUCACACAUCACCUCGCACAUGGAGCAACAAGGAGGAAAAAACAGGUAAUCCUCGGUCAUCCAUAUAUUCAUAUUAACACAUAUAUAUUUCUAAUUCCUAUCUUCAUGUACAAAUCUCUAUAUGCAUCACGCCAAUGAGGCCUGCCGCGUCCCUAAUUCCAUCGGCACCAAAUCGUCAAAGAGAAGCUAACAAGAUGUACAUUAAAGCAAUAGAAGAACUCAAGCACAUCAAACGACCACUGCAUAUAACUUUACAGGAGGGUGACCAAGGGGAGCCUUCACGUGCUGAAAUCAAAAACAUACUUGAAAAAGAUGAGUUCUUCACAACGGAUUACAUCAAAGAAGGAAAGAGACAAGUGACAGCUAUCAUUUCUGCUGAGUAGUUUAAAAAAAAGGCAAUUAGUAGUUACCAAUUCAAUCAUCGGGU